UGGGGCGCUAGGAUUGGCCGUGACGGGACUCCGUGGAAAGCAGUCAAGGAACGUGACGCGGCGUGAGGGCGGGGCCUGGACACCGUGGGAAGGAGCGUCUGCGGCGUUCUAGGCGGGAAGGGCGUGGCCUAGGCAUCGCCCAGGGGCGUAACCUGAGAAAGUUGGAUUUAGUGCGCGAAGGGAGUGGCGUGGCCGCGAUAAGGGCACGACGAAGCUGGUCGAGACUGUGGAAGAGUGCACCCGCUCUGGGAGACCGUGGACCUGGUCCCGGGGGGCAAGCGCCAGUCACCCAUCAACAUCCGGUGGAGGGACAGCGUCUAUGAUCCUGGCUUAAAACCGCUCACCAUCUCCUACGACCCCACCACCUGCCUCCAUGUCUGGAAUAACCGGUACUCUUUCCUCGUGGAAUCUGAAGAUUCUACAGAUAAAUCAGAUGAAGUGAAGCUCAGUGAAGUUCACUGCUUUCCUGCCAGGUUGCACAGCUGACAGCUGGAGAACUGGAUCAAAAAUCUGCGGAGCACACUCUGUGCAGGGCUUCUGAGCUCCUAGAGGCUGGGCAGGUGCAGGCCUCCUGCAAGCUCUGGAGGCAGAGUGUUUUCAGGGCACCCCAGAUUUGUCGUCAGGUAUGCUGAGACACACAGACAAGGAAAGGACUGUCAUGAUAGAAGAAUUUUAUCGUACAGUCCCUAAAACCAGAAGGCAGGACCACAUGGGGAAGCACGAGGGAUGGCCAGGAGGCAGCGGAAAGGAGGAGAAAUCGUGGAGGAGAGCCUCUUGUGGUUUCUGGAGGAAGGAACGCAUAAGCUACACAUCACGAGGAGCUACAGAAAUUGGUGGAUACUUUGCCAUCGAUCAAGCAUAAGGACAUCCUUGUGUAAUUCGGGUCAUUUGAUUCUUCCUGCCUGAUGCCUGCCUGCCGAGAUUACUGGACCUACUCGGUGUCCCUGACUACCCCGCCACAUUCCAGGUCCAUCGCCUGAAUCAUUAAGAAGCAGCCCAUAGAGGUUGAUCAUGAUCAGCUCACCAGCGGAUGACUAUGGUUUAUGUCUACAAACCAGAACGACACCCACUCGGUUAUGCGGCAGAGAAGAUGUGAGAAAUUCUGUAGACAUUUGAAAGAAAAAUACAUUAUAAGAAAUCCUUACACAGUGGCAUUAGACUGUCCAACGUCAUGCUGUGACCACCUGAAGAGAUACGUUAGGUCUGGAUGGAAUCUGUUGCCUGCUCUUGGACUCACCACUGUCUUCUACUUUCUUUCAUCCCAUCAUUGGGGACAGCCCAACAGGUGCAUUUCUGCACGGACUUUUGAGGGAAAUUUUCACAAAAAGAUUGAUUCACACCACCUUAAACAGACCUUAAACCUAAGUACUAUAAUUAGUUACCCAGCAGCCCUUGAACAGUGUUUUAGAAGUCAGAUGUUUUGAACUGUUAAUGCAAAACAUGACUCAGUCAAUUCCAUCAUUACCAGCAGAAAUGAAAAACAGAAAUAGCAUUUGUGUUCACAAAAAACACAUUCUAGGAAUGGAAGGAGACUGAAAAUUAUAGGAGAGUCUACAUAAAUCAAUGCUGUCAGAGCUAAAACAUAAAUUAUGAAUGGCAUUUACCAUUUUCCUAAGAGCAAAAUUGCUAGAAGUGACAUUAGUAACCAUUGGAAGAUCAAAGCACACAUCCCCUUUACCAAUAAACAUAAAUUCCUCCUCCUUUAAAAGAGCAUUCAAGUGUAUGAUGCUCAUUUUUACAAUAAUGAAGAAGGAGAGUGCCAUCCUGUAGAUUUUCUGUAAUUUUCAGGACCUGAUCGGAAUGACUACAUUUUUCCCGUUGUAAGGGUCAGGUACAAAAGCCAAAGCCUUCGUGGCCCCUCUGCCUAGAGCCAAGCUCCUGGGACCUGCAGUGGGAGCUAGAGGUUCCCUGUCCUCAAGAGCAGCGGACUCCCGGAGCAGGCGUCGCGUCCUCGGGGCCCUGGCCUGGCUCGUGCAGGGCCCGUGUCCAGAGGGUUCCCCGCUCAUGACCCCACGCGCUGCCCUUGCGCCCGGACCUCAACGGUCACCCUAGCCCUGCGUGUUCCGCGUCUACAGACACUUGGGGCACUUGUGGAAGCCGGAUUUCCCCCUCAAAGGCCCCGACCCCGCCGCCCCGCAAACAUGGGCAGCUACCUGAGCAGAUCCCUCGGCAGAUGCCUGGGCUCAGCCAAGGCCGCGCCGCCACACCCCGCUUGGAGGCCCCGGUCCCCGCG